AACGAACGCUAGCGGCGUGCCUAACACAUGCAAGUCGAACGAGAAAUCCUGAGCAAUCGGGAGAGUACAGUGGCGCACGGGUGAGUAACGCGUGGGUAAUCUGCCCUGGAGUUGGGAAUAACACUUCGAAAGGAGUGCUAAUACCCAAUAAGAUCCUGAAGACCCCGGUUUUGGGGAUGAAAGAGGGCUGAGGCUUGCAAGCUCUCGCUCCAGGAUGAGCCCGCGUACCAUUAGCUAGUUGGUGGGGUAAAGGCCCACCAAGGCAACGAUGGUUAGGUGGUCGGGGAGGAGGGCCAGCCACACGGGAACUGAAAUACGGUCCAGACUCAUACGGGAGGCAGCAGUGAGGAAUCGUGCGCAAUGGGGGAAACCCUGACGCAGCAACGCCGCGUGAGUGAUGAAGGCCUUCGGGUCGUAAAGCUCUGUCGGAUGGGAAGAAAGUCUUUGCGGUGAAUACCCGCAAUGAUCGACGGUACCGUUAAAGGAAGCACCGGCUAACUCCGUGCCAGCAGCCGCCGUAAAAC
rnacentral:rRNA from 1 species